rnacentral:tRNA from 1 species
AAGCCCCGGAGCCCUCUUGGGCUCGUUUUCAAAUUUGCACUUUGAUGUGAAAUCACUUCGAAGCU